GACGAACGCUGGCGGCGUGCUUAACACAUGCAAGUCGAACGGAAAGGCCCUGCUUUUGUGGGGUGCUCGAGUGGCGAACGGGUGAGUAACACGUGAGUAACCUGCCCUUGACUUUGGGAUAACUUCAGGAAACUGGGGCUAAUACCGGAUAGGAGCUCCUGCUGCAUGGUGGGGGUGGGAAAGUUUCGGCGGUUGGGGAUGGACUCGCGGCUUAUCAGCUUGUUGGUGGGGUAGUGGCUUACCAAGGCUUUGACGGGUAGCCGGCCUGAGAGGGUGACCGGCCACAUUGGGACUGGGAUACGGCCCAGACUCCAACGGGAGGCAGCAGUGGGGAAUAUUGCACAAUGGGCGGAAGCCUGAUGCAGCAACGCCGCGUGCGGGAUGACGGCCUUCGGGUUGUAACCCGCUUUCGCCUGUGACGAAGCGUGAGUGACGGUAAUGGGUAAAGAAGCACCGGCUAACUACGUG
rnacentral:rRNA from 1 species